ACUCUCAACAGCGGAGAGGUAUUCCUCCCGGCCGGUGAGAGUAUACACUCUCACCGGCCGGGAGGAAUCCCUCUCAGCCGGUGAGAGU
rnacentral:miRNA from 1 species